CCAGACAGAGGAGUGUCUCUUAGGACAUCUAUGGGCCAGGCAGAGGAGUGUCUGUUAGGACGUCUAUGGGCCAGACAGAGGAGUGUCUGUUAGGACGUCUAUGGGCCAGACAGAGGAGUGUCUGUUUGAAUGUCUAUAUGGCAGACAGAGGUGUGUGUGUAUCUAUGGGACAGACAGGUGUGUGUGUGUGUCUAUAGAUCAGACAGGGGUGUGUGUGUGUGUGUGUGUGGGUGGUGUGUCUAUACAGCAGACAGAGGUGUGUGUGUGUGGUGUGUCUAUACGGCAGACAGAGGUGUGUGUGUGUGGUGUGUCUAUACAGCAGACAGAGGUGUGUGUGUGUGUCUAUAGAUCAGACAGGGGUGUGUGUGUAUGUGUGUGUGGUGUGUCUAUACGGCAGACAGAGGUGUGUGUG